UGUGGUGUGGUGGUAGAGCACUGGGCUGCUAAACCAUAGUUUGCUGGUUCAAACCCAGCCA
rnacentral:tRNA from 1 species